CUCUGCAGGGUGGUAUCUCUCCAGGAGCAGGACUGGGCAGCCCUGCAUUAACCCAGAUUCAGUACAAUGUUUUACAUGUUUCUUUAAAGAAAGUAUAAUGUUAUCUCCAACCAGAAUGGAUGUUUACAUAACUGAUUUUCAUAUAAUUAUAUAUGAAAAUGGCACGUUGCAAGGAAUGAAGAACUCGAGGGCAGGCAUUGUGCAAAACCAAAGGAGGUUGAUUGAACUCAAAGAACAGACAAUGGAAAUAAACUGGAUCUUGGGGGAUCAAGAAAUGGGUGGAGUGAAACCGGGAAGGGCACAGGCUUAACAUCAAUGACCGAACUGGGGAACAGAGGACUGGGAAGCAGUGACCUGGAGUAACCUGCCAGUGCUCCAGUCUACAGCCUCCUUGUGCCACCCUGGCAUCUCACCUAAAGAACCUGAAGUCCCAGACCAACGCAGGUCCCUGAGUCCCGGACCCGUCGGCUGUCCUGCCGGCCCCUUUGCUUCUGGCUGUUCCUCUGACCUACUGCCUCCUGGCUGUUCCUCCGCACCCUGUCUAGGGCCCACUGUCGUUUCGCCUCCCCCACCCGCCCGGUUCACAGGGGUCUGGAGCCUAUCUUGGAAUAUACAUACAUAACCCAGGCAGGGAAUAACCCAGGAUGGGGACCAACCCAUCACAAGACACACACACAAAGUUACACCUAUGGACAAAUUUGACAACUCCAAUUCAAUUCACCUCAGCACGUUUUUGGACUGUAGGGAGAAACAGGAGAACCUGGAAAAAAAACCCACAACAACAUGGGGAGAACUUCAUGCAUGUGGAUUCAGGGUGGAGACCACCACACCGCCCCUGACUUCAGUGGAUGUUAUAUUUAUUUAGAGCUAUUUAGAGUUUUCCUUGCAGUUGUCACCAUCAACUUACUCUCUAGGCCAACUUGAGAGUUGAAUGGAAAUUUCCUGUGGUUGACCAACAUAAUAAACUAAACUAGAACAUUCUGCCAGUGUUAUAAAUCAAUAGAAAGACCAAAAUACAGAGAAAAUUCUUUCCUGGCAUAAAAAAUAUCAUGAUGUAAUCCUCUCCUUAUGGGGACACAAUGUCCCCAUAAAGUGAUAAAUAUUCGUUUUUUUUUUCCUUUAUGGGGACCGGUUUCCUGGUUUCCUAUAAAAAUCAGUGACUGCUAUGAAAAAUUAAAAAAUGCAAAAUCUCUUGCAUUUUGCUUGGUUACUUAUGGUUAUGGUUAGGGCAGGGUGGGGGUUAAGGUUGUCAUAGUUAGCGUUAGCAUUUUUCCCAUAGAAGUGAAUGAGCGGGCCCCAUAAGGAUAGCUAUAUCCUACAUGUGUGUGUGUGUGUGUGUGUGUGUGUGUGUGUGUAUGUGAGAGAGAGAGAGAGAGAGAGAGAGAGAGAGAGAGAGAGAGAGAGAAUCUGUACUAUUGAGUUAGUGAUUCAUGCUCUCAAAUUAAUCAACAAUAGGAGAGCACGAGUUAAAAACUUGAACACACGGAUUAGUAACUCAAGAGCAUGAAUUAUUAACUCAAGCGUGCAGAUUAAUAAUUCGAGAGCACGAAAUAUUAACUCGAGCGCACUUGUCAUGCCCGGCUCGUCCGAUCCUCUCCCCCUGAUUAUCCACGCGUGCUUCCCCGAUGUUGCCCAGCUGUGUCCUAUUUUCGCCCAGUCCUGUCUAUUUGAGUCCACGUCUUGCCCUGGUUUUCGUCCGUCAUUGUUGUAUAACUUUAUGCUAUGUUUCCUUGUCGCUGUUUCCCCGGUCUCCCCAAUAAAUCCCCAGUUUCCCCCGUCCUUUGCCUGCCUGCUUCGUCCUUCCCUACCUCCUGCCUGCCAACCUGCCCGCCUUCAACCGUGGUACAUAACAGCACUAAGUAGUAACUUUGUUAACUCGAGAGCUUUUGCCAUUGGGAAACAGAUACAGAACGAUGAAAAUCAGGACAAACUGCCUAAAAAACAGUUUGCACCCGAAAGCAA